UCCCUCCCUCUCUCUCUCUCUCUCGUCCUCCUCUAAGUCUGAGUCGACUCGAGUAGAGCAUCACCGCGCUUUUCUACACACACACACACACACACACACACUCUCUCUCUCUCUCUCUCUCUCUCUCUCUCUCUGUGCUGUCAGCUCGCGCAGCGUUGCGGGAGAUGAUGGUUAGGAUGAUGUUGGCAGCGCGAGCAGAAUAACCAUUGCUGCUGGAUACGCGGUGCACAUCUGCGGUUCGCGCGACGCGUCUUUUCGCACCGAUCCAAGCGACGUUGAGGGUCACAGCUGGGCGACCAAAAAAAACCUCAAGCUGAAGUGUUUCCAGUCUCACACGGAGGAGAGUCUUUUGGCCACAGGAAUAAUUAAAAAGAAGAAGAAGAAGAAGAAGAAGAAGAGGAAAAGAACAACAACAACAAAAAACUGCUUCAAGGUUCAUUGCGCGCGGCUUGACACGCGAGCAAGCCCCGGCUGUGGUUUCUAAGAUGUGCUUGUGCAUCCAGCCAUGACUGUGAUGCAGACUGCCCUGAGCCCUAUAACACACCCAAUUAGAGAGAGAGAGAGAGAGAAGGAGGGAGGGAGGAGAGAGGGAGAAAAGAAAAUGAUGGAUCCCUGUUCACGCAUCAUGAGAGGUACAGAUAAGGAUCGGGUGCCCGGUGUACUGUUGUUGUUUGUUUUGUUUUUUUCAGGAAGGGAGUGUGAAUAUAAUAAACUGUUAAUAGGUCAUGACGUAGCUCAUUUUGUACUGACAAAAGAACGAUCUUCCUCCUCUUUUCGUCUCUCUCAUUCUCGCCGGUAUUUUCCUUCGCGUACGUCCAUUGUGUAUGAAUUAACCACGCGUACAUCCAGUCAGCACAGACACUAUACAGUAUACACCCAUCAGCCAUAACAUUAAAACCACCGACAGGUGACAUUCAUUAUCUGCUAUUGAUGCUCUGGGCAAUGUUCUGCUGGGAAAUCUUGGGAUGUACAUGUGGGUGUUAUUGUCUAACGGCAGUGGUCUCUUUCAGCAGGAUAAUACGCCCUGCGACACUGCAAGAGAUGUUCAGGAACGGUUUGAGGAACAUGAUAAAGGUGUUGACUCGGCUUCCAGAUUCCACAGAUCUCAAUCCGAUCGAGUGUCUGUGGACAAACAACCUCACAAGAGUUCCUAACCCUAACCCCCUAACCCUAACCCUAACCUCACCUCAUAACUUGCAGGACUUACAGGAUCUGCUGAUAACGUCUUGGUGCCAGAUAUCACAGCACACCUUCAGAGUUCUUCUGGAACCCAUAUUUCGAUGAAUCAGAGCUGUUUUGGCGGCACAAGGGGAACCUAUACAAUAUUAGGCAGGUGGUUUGAAUGUUAUGGCUGAUGGGUGUAUAUACUUUAUUGCAUUUGCUAUAUAAUUUCUUCGAGCCUUCAGGCGUUAGUGGAACCACAACUGAAAUUGUGUUGUGGUCCGAUGACUUUCUUGGCCAUAAACGUCUGCAGAAAAGCAGUGCCCUUAAACCCGUUGUGAAACAUGGCGGUGGAUCAGAGAUGCUUUGAGGCUGUUUUAUGGCUGGUGGAAGAAGCUUUCGGUGAGAUCGAUAGCGUCUUGCGAUGCGCUACGUGCCGUAAAAACCCGGUUGCCUCUUCCAAGAGGUUCCGACUUGGCUGUACGUUCGUUUUUCAAGCUAGUGAUCAGAAACAUUCAUAGGGUCAGCACAGGGGUCACGAUAUCAACGAUUUACAUCGACCGUGUUUACAUGUCAACCCUAUUAAGUCCACACACACAUAAAACUAAAACGCUUACAAUUCUACACGGAGAAGUAUCCAUGCUACCAAGAAGUCCAACUACACAGUCUUAGUCUCAGUCGUUUUAGGUCCAUAUUCGGGUUGCAGCCGUAUUCCGAAUACGAUUAGGCAUUAGAAUAUUCAUGAAUACAUGGUUGCUGUAAGUACGCCCGAGCUGCCAUUCGUAAAUACCUAGCCUACAGCUAAGCAUCUGUUAUACCCACAAUUCCUUGCAGACUGAGCAUGCGCAUAUAUCUCCUUUCAGUGGGUUUUCUGAAUAAGGUGUUUACACGCGGCAAAUUUCCGAUUAAAACGAGUAUUAUUCCAGGGCUGGGAAUCAUUUGGGGAAUCUGAAUCAGAUGAAUCGAUCGGAUCGCGGCGUCUACACACGACUCGAUCCCAGUUCGAAUAUUCCGAUUAAUAUCAGAAUAUCGGUGCGCACGUAAACGUAGUCGCUGCGUUGAAACGUUUCCUCGGGUCAAGGUAGAAGUAGUUCGUCAAGAAUAUUAGCGUGGGAACGGUGUCCAAGCGUAGCUGUAAUCAAACUCCAGAAGAAGGAAACUCAUUUGUGAACUCAUUUCCUCAUCAAGCGGUAGUACACGCGUUCAUUUUCAAUAAUCCGCUUGAAAUUUUUUUUUAAAAUAAAUAAAUAAAUAAAUCACGGUCUCUUAUUCUCUCAUCCAGCCAAAGGCUGUGUGAAUAGGCUUGAUUUAACAUCCCAUCAUUUACGUUUAGCGUCCAAUCUAAUGCGGUUAGUGCCAGAGCUGACCGUGUGAUCUGAAUAUCCUCAGACCUACUUCGGUAAAACGUUUCAUUAUGCUGCGAGUAAACAAAAACAUGUAUAAGACGAGGUGUUUACUUUGCUUCCCUGGAAGGCACGAACUCUGUCUAAUUUGAAAAAAAAAGCAUGAGGCAAGUUUUUUGCUAAUCUUCCUGACUAGCUAUAUUGUUUUCUUUGCUAAUACCAGGUUAGACUAGCAUCGACUAGCAUCCAGCGGCUAUCAUAAGCCGGCUAGGCAGCAAGUCAGAGUCUAUCUAACGAUAAAUAUUGGUUGUUUACAGGAUAUUUUACGUCCGAUUAAUUCAUUAGCGUUUAGUACAUAGCGGUCGUCAUGCGUGUGAGACACUAACCUAUGCUUCCGAGGAAAACGGCGUAGUUGCUUGUAACGGUUACAGGCUACGUCUACGUCACGCGGGAGAGUGUUUAUCGCUGGACAAAAACGCCGUCUCGGCGUCGACUGACCGCCAAAACGUCGAGAAAAAGAUGCGUUUAUACGUUUAUCCGGAUUAACGCGGCCUUAGAUGAGUAAUACAAAUUCGUAUUCACAGGCGAACACGAAUUCAACAUGAAUUCAAACCGUUUACUUUUUAACACGAUUCAUUUCGUGCAUUUUGCGUGAACAAGGCGAAGAACGUUGUCCGGGGUUGUUUUUUA
ensembl:lncRNA